rnacentral:RNase_P_RNA from 1 species
CAGCGGUUGACAGGCAAUCGCUCCCGGACUUGGUUCCGGGGGAGGAAAGUCCGGACUGCAUAGAGCAGGAAGUCCUUUUCAGCACCCAGGGUUCGCCGCAAGUGUGAAAGAAGGAUACUGCGGACUAUAAGCCGCAGGAAGGAAAGUGCAACAGAAAAAAAACCGCCGGAAUUUAUUUUCCGGUAAGGGUGAAAAGGCGGGGUAAGAGCCCGCCGGACGCUCAGCGAAAGCGGCGCCGCACAGGCAAACCCCUUCCGCAGCAAGACCAAAUAGGGAACGAGUUGCUGCUCGCAACGCUACAAGUUCCGGGUUCUGGUCGCAUAGACAGAUGAUUGCCGCCGGUUCUUUACGGAACCGGAACAGAAUCCGGCUUAUCUCAACAGCUGCCUU